UACGAAGGGGGCUAGCGUUGUUCGGAAUCACUGGGCGUAAAGGGCGCGUAGGCGGCUGUUCAAGUCGGGGGUGAAAUCCUGUGGCUCAACCACAGAAUGGCCUUCGAUACUGGACGGCUAGAGACCGGAAGAGGUGAGUGGAACUGCGAGUGUAGAGGUGAAAUUCGUAGAUAUUCGCAAGAACACCAGUGGCGAAGGCGGCUCACUGGUCCGGUUCUGACGCUGAGGCGCGGAAAGCGUGGGGAG
rnacentral:rRNA from 1 species